ensembl:lncRNA
GAGCGGUAGUGUAAUGUAAGUGGUAGUGGAGCGGUAGUGUAAUGUAGUGGAGUGGUAGUGGAGCGGUAGUGUAAUGUAGUGGAGUGGUAGUGGAGCGGUAGUGUAGUGGUAUGGUAGUGGAGUGGUAGUGGAGUGGUAGUGUAAUGUAGUGUAGUGGUAGUGGAGCGGUAGUGUAAUGUAGUGGAGUGGUAGUGGAGUGGUAGUGGAGCGGUAGUGUAAUGUAGUGGAGUGGUAGUGGAGCGGUAGUGUAAUGUAGUGGAGUGGUAGUGUAGUGGUAGUGGAGCGGUAGUGUAAUGUAGUGGAGUGGUAGUGGUAGUGUAGUGGUAGUGGAGUGGUAGUGUAGUGGUAGUGGAGCGGUAGUGUAAUGUAGUGGAGUGGUAGUGUAGUGUAGUGGUAGUGGAGUGGUAGUGUAAUGUAGUGUAGUGGAGUGGUAGUUGUAGUGGAGCGGUAGUGUAAUGUAGUGGAGUGGUAGUGUAAUGUAGUGGAGUGGUAGUGUAAUGUAGUGGUAGUGGAGUGGUAGUGUAAUGUAGUGGAGUGGAGUGGUAGUGUAAUGUAGUGGUAGUGGAGUGGUAGUGUAAUGUAGUGGAGCGGUAGUGUAAUGUAGUGGAGUGGAGUGGUAGUGUAAUGUAGUGGUAGUGGUAGUGGAGUGGUAGUGUAAUGUAGUGGAGUGGUAGUGGAGUGGUAGUGUAAUGUAGUGGAGUGGUAGUGUAGUGGUAGUGUAAUGUAGUGUAGUGGAGAAAGUUGUGGGUCUGUCUCUUUAAGGUUUCAGCGCUGGAAAGGGAGG